rnacentral:misc_RNA from 1 species
AAACUUUUAUAAGAUUGUGAGAGAGAAGUUGAAAGCAAGAGGCCUUUAUCUUUUUAAUCAAACUUCACACUAAUGCUAGCCAAUUGGGCAAUUAAUUUAUUGAAUUCAUUAAGGUGAGAAACAUAAGUACCUUCCUCCAUUCUAAGUUGAUACAAUUCCUUUUUUAAGUACAAACGAUUUAUAAGUGACUUUGGCAUAUACAAGCUCUCUAAUUUCUUCCACAAAGUAGCUAACGAAAUCUCCUUCAAGACAUUGUACUUUACAUCAGGGGGCUAACAUCAAUCAAUCAUACUUAGGGGGUGUUUGGUCAC